rnacentral:ncRNA from 1 species
UUGUCUGUAGAAAUUGGGAAUCCACUUUCUCUUUGUUGGCGUCCAUCCCCAACUUGCACAUUAUUGUAAGCUGACUUUUCGUCAGCUUCUGUGUUGGGGCCCGCCCCAACUUGCAUUGCCUGUAGAAAUUGGGGAGCCAAUUUCUCUGUGUUGGGGCCCCUGACUAGAAUUGAAAAAAGCUUGUUACAAGCGCAUUUUCGUUCAGUCAACUACUACCAAUAUAACUUCGUAGAGCAUAGAAUAUUGAUUUAU